rnacentral:rRNA from 1 species
AUUGAACGCUGGCGGCAGGCCUAACACAUGCAAGUCGAACGGUAACAGGAAGCAGCUUGCUGCUUCGCUGACGAGUGGCGGACGGGUGAGUAAUGUCUGGGAAACUGCCUGAUGGAGGGGGAUAACUACUGGAAACGGUAGCUAAUACCGCAUAACGUCGCAAGACCAAAGAGGGGGACCUUAGGGCCUCUUGCCAUCGGAUGUGCCCAGAUGGGAUUAGCUAGUAGGUGGGGUAACGGCUCACCUAGGCGACGAUCCCUAGCUGGUCUGAGAGGAUGACCAGCCACACUGGAACUGAGACACGGUCCAGACUCCUACGGGAGGCAGCAGUGGGGAAUAUUGCACAAUGGGCGCAAGCCUGAUGCAGCCAUGCCGCGUGUAUGAAGAAGGCCUUAGGGUUGUAAAGUACUUUCAGCGGGGAGGAAGGGAGUAAAGUUAAUACCUUUGCUCAUUGACGUUACCCGCAGAAGAAGCACCGGCUAACUCCGUG